CGACCGCUGGCGGCGUGCUUACCACAUGCACGUCGAACGGAAAGGCCCUGCUUGCAGGGUACUCGAGUGGCGAACGGGUGAGUAACACGUGGGUGAUCUGCCCUGCACUUCGGGAUAAGCCUGGGAAACUGGGUCUAAUACCGGAUAGGAGCCAUUUUUAGUGUGAUGGUUGGAAAGUUUUUUCGGUGUAGGAUGAGCUCGCGGCCUAUCAGCUUGUUGGUGGGGUAAUGGCCUACCAAGGCGGCGACGGGUAGCCGGCCUGAGAGGGUGGACGGCCACAUUGGGACUGAGAUACGGCCCAGACUCCUACGGGAGGCAGCGGUGGGGAAUAUUGCACAAUGGGCGCAAGCCUGAUGCAGCGACGCCGCGUGGGGGAUGACGGCCUUCGGGUUGUAAACUCCUUUCGCUAGGGACGAAGCUUUUUGUGACGGUACCUAGAUAAGAAGCACCGGCUAACUACGUG
rnacentral:rRNA from 1 species